AGUGCUGACCUCAUAGGAGCAGCCACCCACAUGACGUCACGGUCGCAGCCCGAGCUCGCAGCGCUGAGUCGGUGCCAGACUCCCAUGCUGCCGCUGUGGCUCACAUCACAGAUACGCACUCGCAGCUGUACUGGUUGGAGCAAACCAGUGAGUCCAAGCUGCACGAGCCUCAGGAGGGUAUUUCACUUUCGCAUCUCAGCCGUUUAAUGAAAACACCACAGAUUGGGAGGAUCCUUGAAUCAGAUCGGGUGAUGGAUGGAUCCGAGGCCCCCUGGGGAGUCGGGAUAACAUGAACUCCAGUAUCACUUACACUGGAAGAUGCACAAUAUGAGAUAUAAGAUGAAGAGAUAAGAUACAGUUCGAGGCUCCUAUAGGAGAACAGACACUAACCAACCAACCAACUAACUAGUUGCCACCUGUGGGGACUGGUUUCCUGGCUCCCGGUGAGGAGAAAGGGCCCUGGGGUUGUUUUCUAUCUCUACAUGCAUGCUGGGCGUUCUUCCCAGUCGGCACUUCGCCCCUGGCACCGUCCGCGGCAGCGAGAGCCCAUUCCUCCGCCGUCCCUUCACCUACUUCGCCAGCAAACAGGCGCGGUCCACAGUGAACUAGACGGAUUAUCUUUGUCGAGGGAAGAGAUCAAGACAGAUUAUCGCAUAACAGUCCUCGCCAUCAGUAUUUCUCUCCCUCCAGGGAACCCGGCAACAACUUACACAGAUUAUUAUCGGCGGAAUAUGGUGCGUAGCCCAAUUUGGAGGAAAAAACCUAGGCAUUAUUUUAAAUGUCCCACAUCAAAGAUGGGUUAGCGUUUGGGCCGGGGCAGGUUUUAGACGUAUCCCGGCGAUAGUCUAAUUCCUGGAUGUCAGACAUAAACUCCUGGAACAGGACAAAACUAUGAAUAGUUAAUGAGGAAGCGUAAACCGAGGCAGCGGUUCCGUCUCUGAUGUCGAAAACAAUGCGCCCGAGCUCCGACUGUGAUCUCAACACUGCGGGCUUUGUUGUGGCUCUUGAGCACAGUCAGCGUUUCUGUCCUCGCCGCUCGCCGUCGCGUCCAACUCAGAGGGGGGAAAACGCGCUUCUGUUGUGGCCGUCGCCACUCGCUCUUCUGAAGAACGGCAGCUACCGCCCUGGAGGAGGGGGUCAGAGGUCGCGACCCUUUUAGGCCCGUGUGAGAGUGGAGUGGACUGGCGUCUCGGCAUCAACCUGCUACUGGUGCUGGGGUCGUUGGUGAAUUUCGCGCCCUCUCUGCUCUUUCAGUGAUUACGCCCCGGAGCCGGAGCUGCAUUGACUCUGACCUGAUCUAAAUAAAGCACUAUCCCACUGCUCUGUGGCUGAUUUGCCGGAGGCAGCGAGCGGUCGAGAUUACCACAAUUCUUGGGCUUUGGCAGGCGCAAUCUACAGUAGAUUUAUUUCAUGACCAUUAAUCAUUUGCUUUUUCAUUGGUGGAUAAUCUUUGGAUCGUUGCCACUGAGCACCCAUUCACUGUCAGAGCUGCAUUGUGGAUCUGAAGGCUAGUCCUAUUUUAAAGAAAUUACAGGCAUGCGUUUCAUCUCAUUUCUUUUUUUUUAUCAGCGUAAAAGGUUUCUGUUGUAUUUAAAAAAUGAAGGGUGUGUCUUAAAGGCUCACAAGAGGCUGUAAAGCAGCAACUAUCUCCACGUCCCUACAAAAACAGGCUUAUGGUUCCUUUACAGUGGCUCCAAGUCAUGCAGUCUCGGUCAUAUGGUUGCCCCAGUAACCGUGACAUCAAGGCAGACAUAAUGAUGCAUGAAAACUCUAAUAGCAGGGGACCAGUUGCUAGGCGACCUGAACUCACAGAAGUCGCGGGGCAGGCGGCCAAAGUCUUGUGACCUGGGGGGGUUCCACUGAUGAACUACCCCCACCCCCCAACUUUAAAGGUUUUGUCCUGAAGUUUGUCAGUAACCUAAUGCUUCAGCAGCUGAUUAUCAUCAGUUAACUCCAGUGCUCCUCUGACUCCAAGGAAACCGUCUCUGUUUGUCUGCGCGACGAGUUGAGCAAGAACUGCAUGAGGAGAAACACACAUCGCACUUCAACAAGAUGUUACUUGCUGGGGAAUAAGCCAUUUUCAGAUUUACAGUAAAUGCUGUUGUUGAUCCCAAAUCGAUCUUAGGCUCAUCGCAGGUUUAACCCUUGGGGGAAACCUGAGACGCAGAGGAAGGAGGCGAAGCGAGGUUCUGAACCCGUGGAUGAGCUUUAAGGUAUCGCGGCACUAAUAUUAUGACUCAGGACGCGCGCACCCUCGCAUGUGAAGGUGGAUAAUGAGCUGCCGCUCCGUCUCCCUCUGGUAGAGCUCUACUCAUGCUCUGCAGGAAGCGUGCGCCAUUAUGAGCGGAGCCUGUUAGAGACCCUCAGCAUUAUCAGCCUAAUUAGAAAUGAGAAUCACACGUUCACGCAGCCUGCCGAUGCGUCUGUGAUGAUGAAAGCAUUAGUCACCGCAACCUGGAGGGACCGGCUGAAUAGAAGGAGUGAUGCAAUCAGCUGCUUCAGGAUGCGCGAGGUUAAUAAAAUAACAAAUCCCCCGGUUGUUACUUGACAACCUGACAAUAACGCAGCGCCUGUGUUUAAUUAUCUUUUGUAACAAAGCACCAUACAUCUGCUUUUGUUCAUUUCAUUUAGCUUCCAAAUAUUCCUGUUUCCUUAUAGUAGGUGUUUAUCCUGAAUGACUUAUUUAAAAGAAUUGGCUUUUAUGCUGGCGACUGAGUCCUGAAGGUGAGAACUUUGUAUUGUUCACACUACUUCUAUGCAGCUUGAGCCAGACUGUUUAAUCCUUGGACAUUUUAAUGUUUUUAAUGCCAAAGACUCACAUUAUCAUCAUUAAACAUUAUCGCUUUUACCAACCCUCAUUUCUCUUUCUGGUUAUAAUUCACAAUAUACCACUGAUUCUGUAUUAUUAUGUUAUAAUGACACAUUGCUGGAAAGAGGUGCUGGGAUGCAUUUCUGAUGAGAAGCAGAGCGAUGGUGGCUAAUAAUAGUAAUAGUUGAGCCCUAAAUGUCAGCGCAGUCUCAGACCCGGCAGCUUUUAAGUCAUUGCUCAAAGCGUAUUUAUCCUCCUUGGCUUUUUAGUGCUAUAUAAAUAAAGUGGAUUUAAACUGAUUUUAAUACAAUGGCACCUUACAGAACUCCCCCUCAUUACCCUGACCUUGAAUUCAGAUACGUGAUUGCGGAGCUCUGACCUGUUUAUACUGGGAAUAAACUGGCAUUUGGAAAAAUGCUCAUUCCUCAUAUGUGGUAACUGGUAAACAGAGGGAGACAGAAAACAGCCAGUGUGGUGGAACGAGGUGCUUAUGUCAUCCCCACGGCCGCGGGUCAGCCUAUUUAUAGGCAGUGUUGCCUUUUAUAUCAUUGCCAGCAACAGUGGCCUUUUAUCCCCCCACAGACACAGUAUUAGUUAUUGCUUGAUGUGGCUGGAACCUAAUGACUCACAUGGAUGACCACUGAAACAUGACCCCGGAAUAGAUUGGAACAGGGAGCACCGGCGUUGUGUUGAUGCAAACACAUGUUGAUUUCAUUUUUCCUUCCUCUCUCCUCACAGUCGCCAGCGGCGACGCAGAAAAUCGCGUCUCCUCCGACCGGAGCCCCCGGCUCCGCGGCCUUCUGCUAAUGAAAUGUUUUGCAGUGAGCGAUUCCGCUUGCCAGAGCCCGCCCGACCUGUUUUCACUGUGAAGCGCGAUCGCCCCGUGGGAGCCAGCGCUCAGUCUCCACCACCUGGGGACUCCUCAGGAAGCGAGGGCUGCGUCUGCAGAACAAACAGCGCGUCAGCCCGCCGUCCUGCCCACCGGCCUUUCUGCUGGUUGCCAUGACAGGCCGGGGACGGCUGCUGCAGGCAAGCGGCGCCGCAUGUGAGGCUGCAGCACACGAGGGCGGGAGGAAUCGGUGCGUCUCGUUACAAACCCCUGUGGAACCGUGUCACUUUAUUGCGAGUUCGGAACUGGGUCUGACGUCGGAGCAGCUCCCUGUCAGGCCGACCCGUCGUCCGUCUUCGUCUCGCGCUCCCUCUCUGAUGACUCACACGUGCCUCCGUACGCCCAAACACAGGCCGACUCAUGACUCGAUGAUUCCCGGCUACGCCGUGAGUCAACCUCGGCGCACACCUCCUCCACCGCGGUGUGGGCUCUGCCACCUCUCUGCUUUUGUCAUCAGCUGUGCUCAGAUGUUCUGCAGCGCAGACUUUUAAUAUUGUUUUUGGCUUUUUUCACUUUUGAUCCAAGUUCCCAGAUUAUUGCUGCCAGCAUGAACAGCACAAAUGUCAGAGGGGCUUAGUUUGGGCAGUUCUUCUCCAAACCACUGAACUUUGGCUUGUUUUAGUCUAAAGUUCUUCUUAUAAAGUGACACCUCGAUUAAUGUAACUAGGCCCAAAGACCGGGAUGUUUAUUAUAAUAGCAUCCAUCUGGAAUUCUGUCGUUCCAGUAUAAUAAAGAAAACAGAUCUAAUGUAAAACUGUGUUAACUGUAACUGUAACCAGCCAUGUAGAGACAUGAAUCAUUGACAGGAAUAAAAUAAGCAAAGCACAUAUUUCAGGUACAGAUGUGUUAUCCUUCUUAUAUUGUACUUGAAAGUUCUGCAUCAAGAACUGGGUUUUUCCUGAUUUCAUAAUCUUCUUUCAAGCAACACCGUGGGAGGUGAAACAAAGCUUUGAUUGCAUAAGAUUUCUCCCACCAUCAGCGCAGUAAAUCAGGCCUCCCUGAGACGAUAUAAAAUAUUAGUGUGCCAUUAACCAAAUGGGGCUGUUACCUCCGUGCAGCUGGAGGAGCGAGGAGCCCUUUUUAUGAGAUGGAGGCGCUACAGGCCAAUCCUGGCGUAGCAAAUAAGCCAAGUUUAUGGUUGUCUGUAGAUGGGCCUAUCAAAUAUGGUCGGCGUGUAUUAUUCAUAAGAUAACUGCUUGUGAAAGGCAUCGCAGUCCCGUGGUUCAUAAAUCUGCCUGGAUGCUGACGCCUGCCCUGCUUAAAGCUCUAUCAGCUGAGUGUUUUAUUGACUCAUCAUGUGCAGUGGCUUCAUAGCUGCCUGGAGUAUUCUAAUAUGUGUGUAUGUGUGUGUGUAUCUGUAUCUGCAUGACGUGGCCUUCCUCCCAUUUCCUUCACACCAGCAGACACACUGGCUUCUGAACAAAGCCAUUACCCCCCACUCCCCAUUCUCAGGAAGCAGGAGCUUUUUCCCCUGCAGGCGCAUCACAGUCUCAGAUAGCUUUCAGGCUCCUCCGACUCGCUCGCCUCAAUUAGCUGAUCGCACGGGGGCAGGUCAGGGGUCAGGCUCCAGGGGAAAGGUCAUCCAGCUCAACCGAGAGCCAUUCCACCUUUUCAAUAAGCCCUAUCAAGUAGAGAGGAGGCUGGUUUUUCCACGCUGAUUAUUUCAUUUGGGAGGACUGACUUCCAUUAGAUUUACUGAGCAAACUGAAAAGCAAAACCAUCACAGCAUAUAAAUAUUUAAUUAUUACAACUUCCUGAGAAAAACUGGAGCUUUGAGACGUGACAGUUUGGUAGAUGUUAGCUCCAGGCCUGCAGAUACUGAUAACACUCAUUAGGUAGUAAUCUGUCCGUCCAAAUCCUGAAAGCUUGUAUCACCUAGAGAACAACACACACUAGUUGAUAACUAGAACUAGUUAAGGUUGACCAGGCUCAUUGUGUCAGUCAGACUGUCUUUCACAAGACUGCAAGAAUACAUGUGCUCAUCAUGACUUUAGCCCCUGGAAUGUGGGAGGAAGAAUGUGCACCUACACUGCUGGGCCCACAC